AGAGUUUGAUCAUGGCUCAGAUUGAACGCUGGCGGCAGGCCUAACACAUGCAAGUCGAACGGUAACAGGAAGCAGCUUGCUGCUUUGCUGACGAGUGGCGGACGGGUGAGUAAUGUCUGGGAAACUGCCUGAUGGAGGGGGAUAACUACUGGAAACGGUGGCUAAUACCGCAUAACGUCGCAAGACCAAAGAGGGGGACCUUCGGGCCUCUUGCCAUCAGAUGUGCCCAGAUGGGAUUAGCUGGUUGGUGAGGUAACGGCUCACCAAGGCGACGAUCCCUAGCUGGUCUGAGAGGAUGACCAGCCACACUGGAACUGAGACACGGUCCAGACUCCUACGGGAGGCAGCAGUGGGGAAUAUUGCACAAUGGGCGCAAGCCUGAUGCAGCCAUGCCGCGUGUAUGAAGAAGGCCUUCGGGUUGUAAAGUACUUUCAGCGGGGAGGAAGGUGUUGCGGUUAAUAACCGCAGCAAUUGACGUUACCCGCAGAAGAAGCACCGGCUAACUCCGUGCCAGCAGCCGCGGUAAUACGGAGGGUGCAAGCGUUAAUCGGAAUUACUGGGCGUAAAGCGCACGCAGGCGGUCUGUCAAGUCGGAUGUGAAAUCCCCGGGCUCAACCUGGGAACUGCAUUCGAAACUGGCAGGCUUGAGUCUUGUAGAGGGGGGUAGAAUUCCAGGUGUAGCGGUGAAAUGCGUAGAGAUCUGGAGGAAUACCGGUGGCGAAGGCGGCCCCCUGGACAAAGACUGACGCUCAGGUGCGAAAGCGUGGGGAGCAAACAGGAUUAGAUACCCUGGUAGUCCACGCCGUAAACGAUGUCUACUUGGAGGUUGUGCCCUUGAGGCGUGGCUUCCGGAGCUAACGCGUUAAGUAGACCGCCUGGGGAGUACGGCCGCAAGGUUAAAACUCAAAUGAAUUGACGGGGGCCCGCACAAGCGGUGGAGCAUGUGGUUUAAUUCGAUGCAACGCGAAGAACCUUACCUGGUCUUGACAUCCACAGAAGUUUUCAGAGAUGAGAAUGUGCCUUCGGGAACUGUGAGACAGGUGCUGCAUGGCUGUCGUCAGCUCGUGUUGUGAAAUGUUGGGUUAAGUCCCGCAACGAGCGCAACCCUUAUCCUUUGUUGCCAGCGAUUAGGUCGGGAACUCAAAGGAGACUGCCAGUGAUAAACUGGAGGAAGGUGGGGAUGACGUCAAGUCAUCAUGGCCCUUACGACCAGGGCUACACACGUGCUACAAUGGCGCAUACAAAGAGAAGCGACCUCGCGAGAGCAAGCGGACCUCAUAAAGUGCGUCGUAGUCCGGAUUGGAGUCUGCAACUCGACUCCAUGAAGUCGGAAUCGCUAGUAAUCGUGGAUCAGAAUGCCACGGUGAAUACGUUCCCGGGCCUUGUACACACCGCCCGUCACACCAUGGGAGUGGGUUGCAAAAGAAGUAGGUAGCUUAACCUUCGGGAGGGCGCUUACCACUUUGUGAUUCAUGACUGGGGUGAAGUCGUAACAAGGUAACCGUAGGGGAACCUGCGGUUG
rnacentral:rRNA from 1 species